rnacentral:rRNA from 1 species
GACAUUGGCCAUACUUCCUUGGGCUGCGAUCCUAUCAGAUUUUACAACUAAUCAGGGUUGGAAUGAGUCAGUACUUGAUACAACAGACCUCCAAGGAAAACCCAUCUGCUGUAGGCA